GGGCGACUAACUCAGUGGUAGAGUGCUUCCUUCACACGGAAGAAGUCGGGGGUUCGAAUCCCUCGUCGCCCACCA
rnacentral:tRNA from 1 species